rnacentral:rRNA from 1 species
AUUGAACGCUGGCGGCAGGCUUAACACAUGCAAGUCGAGCGGAGAUGAGGUGCUUGCACCUUAUCUUAGCGGCGGACGGGUGAGUAAUGCUUAGGAAUCUGCCUAUUAGUGGGGGACAACAUUCCGAAAGGAAUGCUAAUACCGCAUACGUCCUACGGGAGAAAGCAGGGGAUCUUCGGACCUUGCGCUAAUAGAUGAGCCUAAGUCGGAUUAGCUAGUUGGUGGGGUAAAGGCCCACCAAGGCGACGAUCUGUAGCGGGUCUGAGAGGAUGAUCCGCCACACUGGGACUGAGACACGGCCCAGACUCCUACGGGAGGCAGCAGUGGGGAAUAUUGGACAAUGGGGGGAACCCUGAUCCAGCCAUGCCGCGUGUGUGAGGAAGGCCUUAUGGUUGUAAAGCACUUUAAGCGAGGAGGAGGCUACUGAGACUAAUACUCUUGGAUAGUGGACGCUACUCGCAGAAUAAGCACCGGCUAACUCUGUGCCAGCCGCCGCAGUAAGAC